AUGACUAGGUGGGCACGAGUCACUACCACACAGAACAAACGACCCUUUCCUGCAACAUCAUGGGAGGACUUGAAGAAGGGGUCCUCUGAGGGACAAAGAGGAAACAACUUGAAGCCAAUAGGCUGUCCCUUAAAAAUGAUGCCCCCCAAGCAAAACACAGAAAGAAUAAAAAGAAAAAGGAGUAUUUAAAUGAAGAUGUGAAUGGAUUCAUGGAAUAUUUAAGACAAAACUCACAGAUGCUUCACAAUGGUGAGGUGAUAGCAACAGACAGUCAGAAAGUAAGGGAAGAAAUUGAAGUUGCUUUAAAGAAAGACAGUCGCCGGGAAGGAAGACGAUUAAAAAGACAAGCAGCAAAGAAAAAUGCAAUGGUAUGUUUCCAUUGUAGACAACCUGGCCAUGGGAUUGCAGAUUGCCCUGCUGCCCUUGAGAAUCAAGAAAUGGGCACUGGAAUAUGUUACAGAUGUGGAUCCACAGAGCACGAAAUAACCAAGUGCAAGGCUAAAGUAGACCCAGCUCUUGGUGAAUUUCCUUUUGCAAAAUGUUUUGUUUGUGGGGAAAUGGGGCAUCUGUCCAGAUCUUGUCCUGAUAAUCCCAAAGGACUCUAUGCUGAUGGUGGUGGCUGCAGACUUUGUGGCUCUGUGGAACAUAUGAAGAAAGAUUGUCCCGAAAGUCAGAACUCAGAUCGAGUGGUCACAGUUGGUCGCUGGGCAAAGGGAAUGAGUGCAGACUAUGAAGAAAUUUUGGAUGUGCCUAAACCACAGAAACCCAAAACAAAGAUACCUAAAGUUGUUAAUUUUUGA
rnacentral:lncRNA from 1 species